ensembl:lncRNA
AUCUGCCAGCUUUUGAUCAUGAAUCAAAAGUCUUAGAGAUAUCUUUUUCUCAUCUGGAUAUUUUACAGCCCUGAAGAUUACUUGUAUUAAAGAGAGAGAGAAGAGAACAUGAACCUUGGUGACUGGUAAACUGGCCAAAACUUUUGGUCAACUCUUGGACUAAAUUAACCCAAUCAACUGAUGACCCUGCAACAUGGUAAAUGCGAGAGGUUUAAGUGUCUACAGUUAGACAAGAGCAGCAAUCCCUAUUACUGGAUGGUUGCCACCAGGUAGGCAGAGGGUAGAAGUUUGAUUUUCACAGUAUGUGGACCUACUAAGUAGGGGUUUCUCAACU